rnacentral:rRNA from 1 species
CCUACGGGAGGCAGCAGUGGGGAAUCUUGGACAAUGGGGGCAACCCUGAUCCAGCCAUGCCGCGUGAGUGAAGAAGGCCCUAGGGUCGUAAAACUCUUUCGCCUGUGAUGAUAAUGACAGUAGCAGGUAAAGAAACCCCGGCUAACUCCGUGCCAGCAGCCGCGGUAAUACGGAGGGGGUUAGCGUUGUUCGGAAUUACUGGGCGUAAAGCGCACGUAGGCGGAUUAGAAAGUUAGAGGUGAAAUCCCGGGGCUCAACCCCGGAACUGCCUUUAAAACUACUAGUCUAGAGUUCGAGAGAGGUGAGUGGAAUUCCGAGUGUAGAGGUGAAAUUCGUAGAUAUUCGGAGGAA